ACUUCUUCAUUUCCAAAUCAAAACCCUAACUAGACAACAAUCUCAUAUUUUUUUAUGGGUUCGAGAGGAGGCAGCCUAAAUUGAUAGCAUUCUUAUAAUUUCCCAUGGGUUCGAGAGGAGCACCGUGGUUCUAUCCGAGCAAAGAGGAUAAGAAUGAAGUUGCAGUCAGCGCUCGAAGUCAUCAGUUUAGAGGUUGAUGACGUGUCGCACCAGGAAGAGGGUCAAAUAAACAAUGAAGAUCGUUUUGUCCAAGUUCGAGGGUCAGAGCCUCGUGAAAUGACACAAUUUCGUGAAUGAGCUCCUCACGAACGAGCUUCACUCCGGCCUACACGCCCUCUUCAGUUCGCAAGGUGCAAACCUUUCUUUCUAUUCCGACCCCUUAAUCUAGGGUUUCAUCUAUCUAACCCUUCUUUCACCCCUAAUCUAGGGUUUCAUCUAUCUAACCCUUCUUUCUUCCCGUCAUGCACUCCAAUAAUUUUAUGUCAAAUUAUUGCAUUGACUAUUGUUACCUCUAGUGACUAAAAGAAGUUUACCGAUAUAUAUGUAUGUGUGGUGGCUGGUGAUGUUGAUUGCAAUUUGAAACCAUAAACUCUGAUUACAAGUUACGUGAGCUUAAAUUUUUUCUUAGAGAACAUUUAUACACUUAUCCUAUUUGAUUAUUCCACUCUAGCCAUCCUUGUAUUAAAUUCCUUGCGAUUUUGGGAUUGGGGGUUUGGAUUUAGGGAAUUUCGUGUAUUCUUGAUGUUCAUCUAUAUCUGCAUAUUAUUGGUGCGUUUUGUGGGUUAAGGUUUCGUAUUGGGGAUUUGGGUUUCUGUCGUGGUAGUUGAUGGUGGUUGUGUAAGUGGCGUCAAUGGAGGUGCUGAUAGGUGUACCAACGAUCUGCAACGAUUUGUGAGUCUCUUCUCGAUUUUUCCUGCACUUGAAUAAAACAAAAAUCUCACAACACUUGAAAUUUCCUGCACAAGCUGAAAUUGAUUCGAAGAGUGAAAGUUUUUUCGCAAUUUUCUCAAAGCUAGAGAUCUUGACAUCUCUGUCAGAAGAGAACUUCUUUCCUUAAUCGGAAAGUUGUCCUGCAUUUGGAUAUGGCUUUGUCUUAUCUUGCUACCAAUUAUCUAUAUCAGUUCCUAGCCAGCCAAGGGAUUUCGUGAUAGGGCAUCAUCUUGGAGACACAAACAGUGCGAAGAAUGGAAGCACUUAUCUUGGGAGCAUUACAAUGGAGAAUGCGGUCGAUCACUCAAUUCUCUUUCAUACCUUUCUUCAUUGCCUUGAUGGGUCUCGAAGGCUCACCAAUGGGGAGGGUUAUGAAAAACCUUGCUUCUAAAAUCAUAUUCAUAUCACAAAUAGGUAUUCAUAGAUUCAUAAAAUAUGAUAUAGUUAAUGAUUUUGUACCUUCUUUUUUUUUUUUUCCAAAGACUGCAUUAACAAUUGGAAAUGUUAUUUGUCAUACUUUCACACUAUAUAGGUAGAAUUAUUGUCGUUACAUCAUUCUUUUUACAGUUACAUCAUUCUUUUUACAAUUAUUGCCGUUAGUAAUUAGAAGAAUUGGCUGGUUGAAUGAUUGAUUCUUUGGUGUGAUGCAUGCAGUUUUAUUGGCAAUCCUAAUUGCUUGAGCAAGCCACUGGAAAAUAGUUUUCUGCUGUCAAGUUUCUUACAAGUAAUAUGGUUUUCUUUAAUUGAGUGUUUUUUUAUGCCAAAUAUUUUAAGAGUUGGAUUAAGCUUAGUUAUGGUGUAGGUUCAAUUUUGAAAAGAGUUGUUAAUAGUUUUCAUUUAUUUGGAACAGAACAAGAUAUUGCUCGAAGUAUAUUAAUGAUACACAAUAUAGAACAUCUCAUUUUAUUUAUGUUACUAUAUAGAGAUAUUUCAUAUAUUGCUAUUUAAUAUUUGUUAUUAAAAAAAUAAUUAGUUAUAUUUAUUUUAAAUAUAAUAAAUAUUUAUAUAUGAUAGCGUGGUGAGGAAGUAUAACACCGAAUUCACCAGCUUGAAUCUAUAAAUUGGUGUGUGAUUAUAAGAUCAGUAAGUAAAUCAUGGAUUUGAGUGAUAUAUUAUUUUAUUAUUCAUUUUCAUUAAUUCUCUCUGAUCCAUUCCUCUGAAAUGUGCUUUUGUACAUUAGAAUGUAUCUGGAAGAUAUUUUUAUCUGUAGAAAGUAGUACUUGGAUUAAAUAAUCAUUGUAGUUUUAUCCCCCUAUUUUGCUUCUUUUUUGUAUUCGUAUUUUUCAUAAAUUAAAUAAUAGUUUUAGAAAAUAAACCAUUCUAUAGAAAUGAUUUAAAAAAUUCUGAGCGAUUGUUUUUUUAAAUGAAAAAGUUAGGGAGUUUUUUUUUUUUCUUUUUCUUUGUGGAAGAGAUGUCCAGUUACUCAGUAUAUGUUACUAAUGAAAAAGUAAUAUUUUAUGACGGAUCUAUUAUUACAGAUAAAAAUAAUUCAUCAUCAUAAGAUAUAUUAUGAUAGAUUCAUGGAUAUCAAUUAUAAUAUAAUACAAUGAAUAUAAAACAUAUUAUGACGGAGUUUUAAACAUCGAGAAUAAUAGAUAACACUUAAAAUGUAUUAUAACGAAAUUAUAAACUAUUUGUUAUAAUUUUGAUAAUAUAGCAUGACUGAUUUUUAAAAAUCAGUUAUAAUACCUUCCUAAAUCUAAUUUUCCCAUCUCCCUCUGCAAUUUGAGUCCUCUCGAAAUUCUUUUCAAGUUCGCAGCAACCCUAAUUUCUAAGGCUUUGCACCCUCUCUUCUUCAUUCUUUUGAACGUUCAUCACUAUCUUCAACCAUGCGGUUCUUCACAUCGCCGGUAUCUAAUUCUUCUCUUUCGUCGUUUAUCAUUUCUGGUGACCAAUCCUUCACUUCUCAAGUUCUUCUUCAGGUUUUUCUCUCGCCUCUACGUUAAAUGCGGAAACCUAAACAUUUUGAUUUUCCCUGUCUCUUUCCUGAUUCGAAUAUUGGACUACAGCAGACACUAUUUGCGCCCAAGCUCACUUUUCCUUCCUUUCCUUCUUCCUCUUCUCUAUUGCGUUAAUUUCUACGGCUCCUUCGACUCCAAUUUCAUGGCGUUGCACUCCUCUUAUUGCGAUGUCUAGUUUCGCCGUGAGAGCUGAUUCCAACCUCGAAGACAAUGGUGAAAUCACCGAAGAUGUUCCUUCCGAUAAUGUUGACGACGUUUCGAAAGGCGAAACAGAACAACUUUCGGAUUCUGAAAAUUUCCCCAAAAAGCCAGAGUCAAGCUUGGAGUCGUUAUGGGGGAAGGGUUAGAUGAUAUCGUAAGGUAUGGCACAUAGGAGUUAUUUGCUAUGAAAAUGAUGAAGCAAGCAAGUCUAGUCAGAUUCAUUAUGAUGAUGAUGCUAUAGACAGGUAAUAAAAAGCUUUGAUUCGCGGUGUAUAUUAUGGUUAAAUUUCUAAGAAUUAGUUUCAUUUUCCUCUUUAUGAUAAAUUGCUGGAUCGUGUUGGUUUGGAUGGUGAAGAUGAAGAUGGAUUUCUGAAGGCUUUUAAGGUUUACUCUAUCAUAUAAUUUUGCAUAUGCUUUUGUGCUCCCACUCUUUGUUCCAUCUCAACUGCUGCACUUUCAAAAACUUUCAAUGACAAACUUGGAUACGUAUAUCUCAUUUAAAAGAAAUUGGUAGCAGUCUAUGCCUUUAUAAGUUUGCAUAAAUUUGUAGUUAGCUAUGCUUUUGUGAUCUUUCAAUUAAAAUCCUUUUGAUAGAACUAGGCUCAAGAAUUUCUAUAUUCCAUAAAUAACUUCCANUUGCGGAAAANAAGUGCUUAUGNNNCCUGAUACUAAACAAUAAAUAUCAUCUGUGUUUAUUUUUGUUGAUGCUAAUAACUGGUCUAAUUAAAAAACACAACAAUCUCAUACAUAAGUCAUAACUGUCUUUUGUUGGAGGAGCAUUNAACCUCUGUUACUUUCCAUGUUCUCUUCAUCUAUAAAUAAUAGCUCAGAAUCUCCUUGUCCCCAUUCUUUCAGAUUCUUUGCUUUAUUGAAUUAACAUAUUCUAUGCUGAAGGUGGCAAAUUUCGAAUACAUAGACGAAGUUAAGCCAGCAGAGGAGGUGCCACAAAAAGAAUCAGAGGUGAAUCAAUCCUCUGUUGCCAAUUUGAAGAAAUCAGCUUACUGGGAUGGCUUGUUGAAAAGAGGAUAUGAACAGUGUAGAAUAGAAGAAUUAGAUGCCUUAGGCAAAGGGAAGCGAACCCGCACCAAAUGGCUGGAAAGUCAUGCACGAGUUUUUGCUGCUAACAAGUAUUAAUUGGAGCGAAGACCAGUUUUUGCUGCUAACAAGUAUUCAAUUGUUCUAAUGCUGGUUUCGAUUCUAAGGACUACACGCCUAAAAUGAGAAUAGAUAUUUAUUGGUUAUCCAAUAACAACUUAGAAAUGGGUAAAAGAUAGGUCCAACAACUCUUUUAGCAUAGACUCUGAGACAAUUUCAGAAAGUAGACUUUUAAGCUUAAGUUAACCUCAACAAACCAGAAUGAAAUAUGGAGUUUAUAUUCAUUUAUAUAAAAUAAUUUGGUCAUAUCUCUAGUCAUGUGUAGAUUCUCACAAUGGAAUUUUUACCAUUACAAAUGUGUUCAUUUUUGUUUCUUAUUUUAGUUGUGCAUUUAAGGUUGUAUCUUGUUGAUGAUUUUCCCAAUUCCCCUAUGAUUUCUCUCUAGGGGGAAGGUUGUAGUAACUGGGGAGAUCUAAGCUCCGAUGAUGAAAAUUAUGAAGUGGAUCAUAGUGAAGAUGAUUCAAAUUCAUUCGAGACUCCUACUUCUACUAGAAGGGGAAAGAAAAUUCGUGCAGGGAUCUCAGAGCCACUUCCUAUAAAGGAAGGUCAAGGAAGAUCGUUGAAAGUACUUGGCUUUAGUCAAAAUCAAAGGGCUGAUUUUCUUUAAAUUUUAAUGAGGUUUGGGGUUGGUGAUUAUGAUUGGAAACAGUUUGCUCCUAGGAUGAAACACAAUAGUUAUGAAGAAAUCACGGAGUAUGGCAAACUUCUUGUCUCAUAUUGCAGAAGAUAUUAUUGAUUCACCAACAUUCACAGGAAAAAGAAUAUACAAUGGUGGUAGACAAUCCUCUGCUUUGUGCUAGCUAUAAUUAAUUGCAACAUUGAUGGUCACGGCAGCGUGAUGGGAGAUUGAUUUCACUUCUCCGUGGAAGUGAUACAUAAGUGUUAAAGUACGGUGAUGAAGCCGUUUAGCAAGUAAAUAAAGGAGCCAUAAGGAUUUCUGAUCAUAUGGAUUGCUACUAGUUAUGGUGGAGGUGAUCUUUAAAUAAUCUCUAUGGAAGGAUAUGUCUCACUAUCCUCGUCCUGUCACCACAUCUACAAGUUUGCGUUCUGUCGAAAGUGGACCUUUGACUGAUCUUAACUCUCAUACCCCUCAGCUUGGACUUCCUGGGAUAAAAUUUCAAGGGCCCAUACCUUUGUAUCAAUCUAGAGGGGAUAUAGGAUCAUGGGGAGCUUCUCCGCCAGCUCCAAAUGCAAAUGGUGGUAGGCUUGCUAUGCCAAUGUAUUGCAGCAGCCUACGGAGUAUUACUUUCUAUUAUGCUAAUUUUGAAAAAACUUGGUGAUUUAUGUUAUUAUCUGCUAAUUUCAAAAUAAGUUGAACUUCAACUUUAGGUCAUUUUGGUGUUAUUUAAUUAUUUAUUAAUUAUUAUUUUUCAAUGUGUUUCAAUCAUUCAUGUGCUAAUAUAUAUUUGGAAUGGCUGAAAAGAAGAUAGAAUAUAGGGUGAAAUUAUUCAUCAAGAAGGUUUUUGAUAGGUUUUCAGACCAAUAACGAGAUGCUUUAGAAAUUGCAUUUCUUUAUUCCAACAUCAUACCAGAUUUCCUCCAAUGUGGAGAAAUCAAACACAUACAAUUUCUGGUUAUUUAAGAGAACCAAACUGGUCACUCUUUUUAUUAUUUUCAGAAUAUACAAAAACAAUGAAAAAACUACUAAAAAUAAUUGCCUACCCAGACUUUAUAAGAGUCUGAGACAACAAAAUCUACCCACAGACAGUUAUAACCAUUUAUCCCUUUUAUUUCUCCUAAGAUAAACAUUUUCUUUGAACCUAUUUGUACCCCCUCCAUGAAGUUUCACCUUGUCGUCAAGGUGAAAAGUACGAAACUCCUUAUUGAUGAUAGUAACAUUUUCCUAGCUGUUUUCAAUGGGUGAGAGGUAUUUUCAACUAGACGAACUAACUUCUUUUUCCCUUAUUUUGUAAAUUGUAUCAAACCUAUCAACACCCCUUCCAUGAAGGUGCACCUUAUCUUCAAGGUGAAAAUCUGAAAAUUCUUUAUGAAUGCAGGCAAUAGAUUCUCCUAACUCCUGCAUUUCCUCUUCCGAAAUAAGCAGGAUAUGGAGCUAUUUAUUUUUGCAAGUAUGAUUAUGCCCAAACUUUUCAUCACACCUGAAGCAUAAGCCCUUUUUUAUUCUUAUCUUGCAAUUUUUCUUGGGACUAUUUUCUAAAUGGUGUCCCUCUUUGUUGAGUUCUAGUAGGAGAACUAUUGAUGGUGCAAAACCUAUUGAAUUUUCCCCUUCCUUUAACUAACUGCAAGUAGGUGCCAAUUGUUUGUAGGUAUUAAUUUGAAGUUGCAUAGUGAGAGAGUCCCCCUUAGUGGUGACUCUAAACUUUUACUCCACCAUUCAGGCCUUCAUGAUUAACUCAGCAAGAUUCUGGGGUUCAUAAAGUUUAACCUCCACCAUUAUGUCUUCCUUCAAUCCAUUCAAGAACAUGCCCACCAAGAAAUCUUGCUGCAUUCCUUUCAUGAACCCUGCAUAUUGUUCAAACUUCUCAAUAUAUUCCCUUACUUGUCCCGUUUGGCAUAGGCCAAUCAAAAUUUUAAACGGGUUUUGCAGCAUUGUUGGCUGAAAUCUUUUAACCACCGCGCCUUUGAAGGCUUCCCAUGUGAGAUGCGGAUUGUAGGUUUCCCACCAUUGAUACCAAUUCAAAGCUUUCCCCUCCAAUGCCACCAUAACAUCCUGCAUUUGCUCCUCCUCACUAACCUCUCUCAAAACGAAAAUAUUGCUCUAACCUAUUGGUCCACCCAUAAGCUUCGUCUCCUGUAAACAUAGGAUGUCCAACUUCCUCCAAUUGGCAGAAAUCCCAACAGAACUUCCUCCUGCAUUACCCCCAUUGUACUCAUGGGCAUCCAUGACAACAAAAUCUUGGGCCUCUUGAUGCUUAUCAGAGGAUGCCAAGCGUUCAACCACCCCAUUAGUCCUUGAAUCAUCUCUUCCAAUCACUGGAAGCGACGAUUAUUUGCGUGUUCUUGUUCUUCGACAAUCUUUUCCAACCCAUCCCAUCUUUCCUCCAUUCUUGUGUUGACUAUUAAACUACAGUAUGCCCCCACUUCACCAGGAAUGAGGCUCUGGAUACCAAUUUAUGGGUUUUCAGACCUAUAACGAGAUGCUUUAGAAACUGCAAAUCUUUAUUGCAACAACAUACCAGGUUUCCUUCAAAGAAACCAAAUACAUACAAUUUCUGGUUAUUUGAGAGAAGCAGACUCUCCACUCUUCCUAUUCUUUUCAUAAUGUACAAAAACAAUGAAAAAACUACUAAAAACAAUUGCGGACACAAACUUUAUAAAAGUCUGAUACAACAAAACCUAUCCACAUACAGUUAUAACUGUAUGUUCCAUUUAUUUCUCCUAAUAUAAACAUUUCCCUUGAACCUAUCAGUUUCCUUGUUCUUGCUUGCCUUGAUAUUUUUAACAGCCUUGGUAUUUUUAAUCUUGUUAGCAAGUAUAAUGUAGAGUAUAGUUGCUUUAUGUUUGAGAAGAUUCGCUGGUGGAAUAAUAAUUCAUUUGGCUAAUUUUUUUUAUUUUUUCUAUACAGGAUGACCCAGACCUAUUUCAAAAAGUGUCUUGACAAUAGGUGGGGAAACUCUUCUCAUAAUUUUUAUUAACAGUCAGAUUCAUAUAUAUUGUCUGCAUAUGGCAUAUAAAGAUCGUGACUGUUCUGUCUCCCUUGUUUUAAUAGGUUAUUAUCGUUACAUGCUCCCUCAUGAAUUACAUUAUUAGUAAGACUUAUAUGUACAGGACUAAUUCUAUUCGUGUCCUUUGUCGCAUCACAUAUAGAACACUCCUCACCGAAAUAGAGCGAUAUCUGAAAAAACGAAUUGUAGAUAAGAAUCCAAUUGUUGCAAGUUCAUCCUUAGUUAGCGGCAUUCAUCUGCUUCAAGCCAAAAGUGUCCUUAGGUUUCUUUUCAUUUAACUAUUUAAGCUUAUCAACUCAAUUGCUUUGAUAAGAAGUGGCAGAAUUAGCCCUCAUGAAUUGCUUUUGGUAUCAUUCCGAUAUCUGAAGUGGUAGAAGUAAAUUCACGUACAUCUUUUAUUUUUAUCCGAUAUGGAAUUUUUGUUUGUAUUCUAAAAGUAAUAACUAUGAAAAGACAAUUUUUUAACAUUUUCUUUUCCGAUUGACACUCACUCAAUUCAUCUCUAUUUUUAUAUGUAUGUGUACAAUGGUACAGUAGAUGUAGGGCUGAUGCCAAUGAAGCUACUGUUAUUCUUCUUCCAUCAAAUAUUAUUGUUUUUACUCUUGACUUCUCGGGGUCAGGCUUAACUGAUGGAGAUCAUGUUAGCUUUUGGUUGGCAUGAAGUAAGUUUACCUAUUAAUGUAAACUUAAUUUAUCAUGUAUAUUUUCACCUUUCCUCUUCUAUUUACGAUUAAAAAGAGACAUAUUGUUAUAAUAAAUUUUAACCAUUUAGUGGGUUAGUUGGUUGUAUGUCAACCUCAAUAAGGGGUUAAGAUUUAUUAAAUAGAACAUCUUUUGUUAACAAGAAACAGGAUAGGAUCCAAUCUUACUUUU